GUCGUACGAAGUGUUAAAACUUUAGUGGCGGACGGGUGAGUAACACGUGAGAAUUUACCUUUAGGAGGGGAAUAACAGUUGGAAACGACUGCUAAUGCCGCAUAUCAUAACUAUGAAAGAAGAAAUUCGCCUAAAGAAAAGCUUGCGUCCGAUUAGCUAGUUGGUAAGGGUAAAGGCCUACCAAGGCGACGAUCAGCAGCUGGUUUGAGAGGACGACCAGUCACACUGGAACUGAGACACGGUCCAGACUCCUACGGGAGGCAGCAGUGGGGAAUUUUCUGCAAUGGGCGAAAGCCUGACAGAGCAAUACCGCGUGAGGGAAGAAAGCCCACAGGGUUGUAAACCUCUUUUGUCAAGGAAGAAGUUCUGACGUUACUUGACGAAUAAGCAUCGGCUAACUCCGUGCCAGCAGCCGCGGUAAGACGGGGGAUGCAAGUGUUAUCCGGAAUCACUGGGCGUAAAGCGUUUGUAGGUGGUUUAGUAAGUCUAUUGUUAAAGCUUGAAGCUCAACUUCAAAAAUGUAAUAGAAACUACUAGACUUGAGGAUAGUAGGGGUAAAGGGAAUUUCCAGUGGAGCGGUGAAAUGCGUAGAGAUUGGAAGGACCACCGAUGGCGAAGGCACUUUACUGGGCUAUUUCUGACACUAAGAGACGAAAGCUAGGGUAGCGAAUGGGAUUAGAUACCCCAGUAGUCCUAGCUGUAAAACGAUGGAUACUAGAUGUUGCGUGUAUCGAUCCAUGCAGUAUCGUAGCUAACGCGUUUAAUAUCCCGCCUGGGAAACUAUGCUCGCAAGAGUGAAAC
rnacentral:rRNA from 1 species